rnacentral:rRNA from 1 species
CCUACGGGCGGCAGCAGUGGGGAAUAUUGGACAAUGGGGGGAACCCUGAUCCAGCGACGCCGCGUGAGUGAAGAAGUAUUUCGGUAUGUAAAGCUCUAUCAGCAGGGAAGAAAGAAAUGACGGUACCUGACUAAGAAGCCCCGGCUAACUACGUGCCAGCAGCCGCGGUAAUACGGAGGGGGCAAGCGUUAGCCGGAUUUACUGGGUGUAAAGGGAGCGUAGACGGCGAUGCAAGUCUGAAGUGAAAGGCGGGGGCCCAACCUCCGGACUGCUUUGGAAACUGGAUGGCUGGAGUGCAGGAGAGGUAAGUGGAAUUCCUAGUGUAGCGGUGAAAUGCGUAGAUAUUAGGAGGAACACCAGUGGCGAAGGCGGCUUACUGGACUGUAACUGACGUUGAGGCUCGAAAGCGUGGGGAGCAAACAGGAUUAGAUACCCGAGUAGUC